CCUACGGGGUGCAGCAGUGAGGAAUAUUGGUCAAUGGACGAGAGUCUGAACCAGCCAAGUAGCGUGAAGGAUGACUGCCCUAUGGGUUGUAAACUUCUUUUAUAUGGGAAUAAAAUGUUCCACGUGUGGGAUUUUGUAUGUACCAUAUGAAUAAGGAUCGGCUAACUCCGUGCCAGCAGCCGCGGUAAUACGGAGGAUCCGAGCGUUAUCCGGAUUUAUUGGGUUUAAAGGGAGCGUAGGUGGAUUGUUAAGUCAGUUGUGAAAGUUUGCGGCUCAACCGUAAAAUUGCAGUUGAAACUGGCAGUCUUGAGUACAGUAGAGGUGGGCGGAAUUCGUGGUGUAGCGGUGAAAUGCUUAGAUAUCACGAAGAACUCCGAUUGCGAAGGCAGUUCACUGGACUGUAACUGACACUGAGGCUCGAAAGUGUGGGUAUCAAACAGGAUUAGAUACCCUGGUAGUC
rnacentral:rRNA from 1 species